GGCCGUAUGCUCGUCUCUCAACAUCAUCCUUAAGUAAAUACUUGGAUUUCCCAAGGCUAAACGCAUUGGUUAGGUGGAGAUGUGGCACCAGCGCCCAUGUUCCAACGCUUUCAGCUGAGCCCAGGGAGAAGUGGAGCGAAUAGAUCACCAAGUCAACUGUUAUCACAUCUGUAUUUCGUACAUAAGACCUCACCAUGGAUGAAUUUACUGAUAUCCAUGACCUGGAGGAAUUAGAGGCUGUGGAAGAGCUGGGGCCUCACAGAUGGCUACUGCAAGAAAUCUCUUCCCUUCGACAUUGAUGAGCCAGAAAAUGUUCAACACCAUCAUGAUACUGCCCCACCAGUACCAGCUUCAGGUUUUAAUGUAGCCCAUGUCAUUGAGAAUCAUUUCUCAUUUCUGAUGUGUGUGUGUGUGUGUGUGUGUGUGUGUGUGUGUGUGUGUGUGUGUGUGUGUGUGUGUGUGUGUGUGUCUUCA